AUUUGUACCGAUUCAAUGAUAGCU
rnacentral:miRNA from 1 species